UACGUAGGGGGCGAGCGUUAUCCGGAUUCAUUGGGCGUAAAGCGCGCGUAGGCGGCCUGCUAAGUCUGGAGUGAAAGGUACCGGCUCAACCGGUACAGGCUCUGGAAACUGGCGGGCUAGAGAGCAGGAGAGGGCGGUGGAACUCCAUGUGUAGCGGUAAAAUGCGUAGAUAUAUGGAAGAACACCAGUGGCGAAAGCGGCUCUCUGGUCUGUAACUGACGCUGAGGUUCGAAAGCGUGGGUAGCAAACAGG
rnacentral:rRNA from 1 species